UACAGAGGUCUCAAGCGUUGUUCGGAUUCAUUGGGCGUAAAGGGUGUGUAGGUGGCGCCGUAAGUCGGGUGUGGAAAUUUUCGGAGCUCAACUCUGAAACUGCACUCGAUACUGCUUUGCUUGAGGACUGGAGAGGAGAUUGGAAUUCACGGUGUAGCAGUGAAAUGCGUAGAUAUCGUGAGGAAGACCAGUGGCGAAGGCGGGAUCUCUGGACAGUUCCUGACGCUGAG
rnacentral:rRNA from 1 species